rnacentral:rRNA from 1 species
GAUGAACGCUGGCGGCGUGCUUAACACAUGCAAGUCGAACGGAAAGGCCCUGCUCUUGUGGGGUGCUCGAGUGGCGAACGGGUGAGUAACACGUGAGUAACCUGCCCUUGACUUUGGGAUAACUUCAGGAAACUGGGGCUAAUACCGGAUAGGAGCUCCUGCUGCAUGGUGGGGGUUGGAAAGUUUCGGCGGUUGGGGAUGGACUCGCGGCUUAUCAGCUUGUUGGUGGGGUAGUGGCUUACCAAGGCUUUGACGGGUAGCCGGCCUGAGAGGGUGACCGGCCACAUUGGGACUGAGAUACGGCCCAGACUCCUACGGGAGGCAGCAGUGGGGAAUAUUGCACAAUGGGCGGAAGCCUGAUGCAGCAACGCCGCGUGCGGGAUGACGGCCUUCGGGUUGUAAACCGCUUUCGCCUGUGACGAAGCGUGAGUGACGGUAAUGGGUAAAGAAGCACCGGCUAACUACGUG